rnacentral:piRNA from 1 species
UGCAAGUUGCUUCCUACAUGUGAUCUCACA